rnacentral:rRNA from 1 species
UCAAGCGGGGGUAAGACCCCGUGGAGGGCCGAACGCACGUCGGUUGAAAACGGCGGCGAUGACCUGCGGAUAGGGGUGAAAGGCCAAUCAAACCCGGAGAUAUCUCGUUCUCCCCGAAAUAGCUUUAGGGCUAGCGUCGCGCGUUCACCGCCGGAGGUAGAGCACCGGAUGGACGAGGGGGCUUCGCCGCCUACCGAAUCCAACCGAACUCCGAAUGCCGGCGGCCCAGAGCGCGGCAGUCAGAGCAUGUGGGCUAAGCUGUGUGCUCGAGAGGGAAACAGCCCGGACCGCCCGCUAAGGUCCCCAAGUUCCAGCCGAGUGGCAAAGGAUGUGCGUCCGCCCAGACAACCAGGAUGUUGGCUUAGAAGCAGCCAUCCAUUCAAAGAGUGCGUAACAGCUCACUGGUCGAGUGGACAUGCGCCGACAAUACACGGGGCUAAGCUGGACACCGAAGCGGCGGGAUUUUAUCUAUAUAGAAUCGGUAGGGGAGCUUCCCAUGGGCGGGGAAGCCGCCGGGCGACCGGCGGUGGAGCGCAUGGGAGUGAGAAUGCUGGCAUGAGUAGCGAGAGACGAGAGAGUAACUCGUCCGCCGUGAACCCGAGGUUUCCUGGGCAAGGCUAAUCCUCCCAGGGUCAGUCGGGGGCUAAGGCGAGGCCGGGAGGCGUAGCCGACGCGCAGCAGGCAGACAUUCCUGCACCGCGCACGCGGCGCUACGACCGACGGGGCGACGGAUGGGGGUGGCUCGGCGGGGUUCUGGACGUCCCCGUGAUGGAGCGCGGCCCGCGGACCAGGGAAAUCCGGUCCGCACGAGGGCGAGGCUCCGGACGAAGCACUUAAGCGAAGCGAGUGAGCCCGAGGUCCCUAGAAAAACCCCUAGGCAGGCGCGUGCGCGCCCGUACCGCAAACCGACACAGGUGGGUGGGUAGAACAUACCGAGGCGAUCGGGUCAACCAUGGUCAAGGAACUCGGCACAAUGGCCCCGUAACUUCGGGAGAAGGGGUGCCCGCGCGUACGUGAACGGACUUGCUCCGGGAGCGGAGGCGGGCCGCAGUGGAGAGGCCCAAGCGACUGUUUACCAAAAACACAGGACUCUGCAGAAGCCGCAAGGCGACGUAUAGGGUCUGACGCCUGCCCGGUGCCGGAAGGUCACGCGGAGGAGUUAGCGCAUCGCGCGAAGCCCCGAAGCCAAGCCCCGGUAAACGGCGGCCGUAACUAUAACGGUCCUAAGGUAGCGAAAUUCCUUGUCGGGUAAGUUCCGACCUGC